CUCUCCUCAUCAUCCAAGAACUCUGUAGUCCCUCCUGUCAGUUUGGCAACGCCCUGCAGGAGUCUCCUGCAGGCUCGUGGACCAAGGCCUAGGCCAAAGCAUCUGCAAAGAUAACCAGCUGCUCCCUCUGUACCCUCCUUCGCACAUGAUAUCCAUACCUGCCAGCACACGCGUUUCUGCGUACUAGCUCCAGCAUUCUAGCUACAUUGCUGAUGGAUCCAUCUGUAAUAAUAAAGACCUGGCGAGGGUACGAGCGCUGCAUGGGCUGUUGAUAGACCCAGAAGAGCGCCCCCAGCAGCAUUCUUCCAUCCUCCCCCUCACCGUUGGUGCAUUGCAUGUCUAGACUGGGGCU